rnacentral:rRNA from 1 species
GACGAACGCUGGCGGCGUGCUUAACACAUGCAAGUCGAACGGAAAGGCCCUGCUUUUGUGGGGUUAUCGAGUGGCGAACGGGUGAGUAACACGUGAGUAACCUGCCCUUGACUUUGGGAUAACUUCAGGUAACUGGGGCUAAUACCGUAUAGGAGCUCCUGCUGCAUGGUGGGGGUUGGAACGUUUGGGCGGUUGGGGUUGGACUCGCGGCUUAUCAGCUUGUUGGUGGGGUGGUGGAUUGCCAAGCCUUUGGCGGGUAGCCGGACUGAGUGGGUGACAGGCCACACAGGGACUGACAUACGGCCCAGACUGCUACGGGAGGCAGCAGGGGGGAAUAUUGCACAAUGGGCGGAAGCCUGAUGCAGCAACCCCGCGUGCGGGAUGACGGUCUUCUGGUUAUAAAACGCUUUCGCCUGUGACGCAGCGUGAGUGACGGUAACGGGUAAAGAAGCACCGGCUAACUACGUG